rnacentral:tRNA from 1 species
GGUCAGAUAGCAUAACAGGUAGUGCAGAAAACUGCAAAUUUUUUGGUAACGGUUCAAGUCCGUUUCUGACCU